CUCUCUCUCUCUCUCUUUCCCUCUCUCCCUCUCUUUCUCUCGGACUUCUCCCCUCUCUCCAUCACCAUGACCCAACAUCAUGGCAACCAUCGCAGUCUCAUCUCUCAAUCUUCUUCUCUCUUAACUAUGACAGUACCAGGAUCUUCCGGACCAACAGCUCAAACCCUAUCUCAUCCUUUUGCUCUCUAUCACUCUCCAAAACAAAAAACACUAGAAACCCACUCAACCAACAAGCCAAAUCCACAGCCCGCACCAACCCAAACUACCUCUAUCUGUCGUCCAAUACUUCUCUUUUUGCUCUAAUUAUGAUUUUUGUGUUGGAUGCACUGGUACGUGCCUCAUUGAGCUUCCAGUAGCCCUUCACUUCCACAUCCACGGAUCCACCCUCCAAAGUCUUUGUUUAGAAUUUUUUUUGUUUGGUAUGAACUUGCAGGUUAGACUUAGAAUACUUGGAUCUAACGGGAAGACGGGACACAGAAUCGAGCGCAAUGGCGUUUAUGGAUUCAUAUAGCCGAUCCCACUUAGUGGGAAAAUGCUUUGUUGUUAUUGUUGUUGUUGUAUGAACUUGCAAGUUGGAAUUUUCCUGAGUUGCUUAGGUUUUUCUUGAUGACUUAAGGUAGAACAAUUUGGUUGGUUGUUUAUACACAUUAAUGAACAAAGGAAAGAAAAUUUGAUGCA